CUCACCGUCUCCUGCUCUCUUUGCCUUUGAGUGGCUUAACCAGUCAACCCAACCAGCUCUCAAUUCCUCUUUUACUUUUCCCACCCCGAUGGAAUGUUCUAGGUAUAUUUUUAUUUAGGAUUUCUGUCCAGGAAUUUUCCCUUCUCGCCCAAAAAGAAAAAAAAAAGCCAUCGAAAGGACAGACUGUUUAUGCAACUGACUGGUCCAGGAACGGCAAUUCCUAAAAAAAAUCCAAUAUGAGUCUAGUGUUGUCUUUCUGGGCAGAACCAAGAAAUGAGCCGACAACAUUCCAGAUGCAAGAAGGGGAAGAGUUGCAAAUGUGCAAAUUCGAAGCUGCAGAACGUCCGGUUGGAUAACCGACACGUGGAUUUCACUCCCUAGGGAACUCGGCAAGAUUCUAUGUUCUCAUUCUAUGUUCUAUGAAUCUCUGGCAUGAAAAACUGCAUGGUUAGAGAUUGUGAAACAUGCCUAGCCUUGCCAACUGGAGCUGAUCUCUAGCAAGGUCAGACUUGAUUAGGACUUGUUGUGGGGUCCAUAAGGAAGCUCAAGGAUGUUGCAAAAGUGGGGGCGGGAGGAGCGCAUCACUACUUCGACCUCCCCAAGAGAAUCGCACGGACGUAGCAGCCAUGAAGUUUAUCGGGAGCUGCAUUUGAUUUGUAGAAUCCUACGAAAAAAUCUUCUUCAGCACCAGCAGGUGGCGGUAUUUGGCUGACAUUGCCUGGGCUACAAGCUUAAACAGGCCAUAGCCUGCAUAGGACAUGGAUGGAAGGCCACCAGGAGAUCUCAGAGUUCCAAGCUAGCUAGACUGGGAAGUUCUUUUUUUUUAAAAAAACAAAACAUGGUGGGAAUAAUUAGUGGCAAAUCACACCUGCGCCAAUAAAACUCCCUGGACUUAUUCGUGAUGAGAGUAAGAGUUAAACUUGCUUUGAGACUUUGAUUUUUCUCUUGUACAGGUUGUCCUUGACUUACAACCACAAUUGAAGCCCAAAAAUUCCCUGGUUCAGCGAAACAUUUGUUAAAUGAGUUUUGCCUCAUUUUAUGACCUCUCUUGCCACAGUGGUUAAGGGAAUCAUUGCGGUUGAUAAAGGUCUAGUCCCUCCUUAGGCAUGAAAGUUGGCUGGAUGACUAAGAGACAAUCACCAGGACUAAGUGGUUUCUACCCUAGUUUUAGGCACGAAAGCCAGCUGGAUGACUUUGGGCCAAUCACCAGGAGAUGGGGAAUUCUAGUUUCAUCUUAGUUAUGAAAGCUGGCUGGGUGACUUUGGGCCGAUCAUCAGGAAACAGUGAGUUCUAGUCUCCCUUUAGCAUGAAAGCCAAGCCAGCUGGGCCAAUCACUAGGAGACAGUGAGUUCUAGUCUCGCCUUAGGCAUCAAAUCCAGCUGGGUGGAUGGGCCAGUCCCUUUCUCUGAGCCGGCCAACCUACCUCACAGGGUUGUUGUUGUUGUGGGGAAACAGCAGGGUGAAGCAGCGUUAGAUAUGUUUGCUGCCUUGAGUUGUUUAUAAAAGUAAUAAAGGCAGAAUAUAAGUAGAAUAAAACAAAUAAAGACAUCUUAGAAGGCACCAGGAUGGGAACAACCAACCCUCCCUGCAGAGACUCCGCUCUUGAGGGAGCAUCCAAUGGUUGGCCUUGGACGACAUUCUUGACUAGGAUUGAAAAUAUAGUCCUCUAUUUACAACCAUCCGUUUAGUGACCGUUCCAAGUUACAACAGCACCAAAAAAAGCAACUUAGGGCCCAUAUUUUUGCACAAACCAUUGCAGCAUCCCCAGGGUCACAGGUUCAAAAUUCGGACGCUUGGCCACUGACUCCUAUUUAUGACGGUUGCAGUCUCCCGGGGGGGAGGGGGGGAGGGCGGGUCACGUGAUCCCCUUUGGCGACCCAACCGACAAGCAAACGUCAAAGGGGCAAACCAGAUCCACUUAAUGGCCGCGUCAUAGCUGCAGGGAUUUCGCCAACUGGCGGUGGCCGGCAAGGAGGUACAAUGGGACGAAAACAUCACAACUAGCCACAGAAAGGAGGGGCCUCAAUUGUGGUCGUAAGCCGAGAUGGUAUUCAGCCGGUUCGAGCAAACCGGUAAGCCGGAUGUAACGUCGUCCUAUUUCGCCACGUUUUCUAGGCCGGGCACAUGCGCGGAAAGCAUGCGCGGGGCGAACCGGUGGCAAGAAUAUGUGGAACCCACCACUGGUCGCAAGUCGAGGACUACCUACUAUUGGCUUGGGGACAAAGCACGGGAAUGCAACGACAGUAAUCGGCUUUGGGGAACCUGGGUUUAGAAUGUGGUGGGAAGGUAGCCUAUGCCCAAGAAAGGAGAGAGCCUUUGUUGCGAACGGGUCUGAGCAAGGGGUUGGGCUAGAAGACCUCCAAGGUCCCCUUCCCAGCUCUAUACCGAUCGAUUGACCGAAGAUGGUGGCAGAUUCAAAGGCAGGCCAACUCGCAGCUGAGCGUCGAUCGGGGAGCGGAGUGAAUCAUUAUUCGUACGGUGACCGUGAAUCACUCUGUCAUCGUGGCUCGGUUG